CCUUGUCUCCCUUGGGGCUGGCGUCCGUGUGUGUCGUGGCGUUCCAUGUGCUUUGAACCGUGUGGCGGUUGGCGUUGCCGAUUUCGCCAGGUCUUCUCCAUCUCUCCGAAAAUUUGAGGCUGUCGGCUGGCUGCGGCUGUGUGGGACUGGAGGUUGUCUACGCUGUUGUUCGCUCCCUCCAGCAGCGUUUAACUGCGGCCUGCUGCUCUCCCUCUCCUCCCCGGCGGAGACGCUGUGCCUGUGCUCUGUGCUCUGUGGCACGCUUUGGCCUGGCUGUGCGCUGCGGUGCUCCACUCUCCGGCGGUCAACGCUCUGGUGCACCGGGACUCUACUGCUGUCUUGUCUGGUCUUGUCU